rnacentral:rRNA from 1 species
GACGUAGGAGGCGAGCGUUGUCCGGAUUCAUUGGGCGUAAAGAGCGCGCAGGCGGCUUGGUAAGUCGGAUGUGAAAUCCCGAGGCUCAACCUCGGGUCUGCAUCCGAUACUGCCCGGCUAGAGGUAGGUAGGGGAGAUCGGAAUUCCUGGUGUAGCGGUGAAAUGCGCAGAUAUCAGGAAGAACACCAGUGGCGAAGGCGGCUCACUGGCUCGGUACUGACGCUGAGGUGCGAAAGCGUGGGGAGCAAACAGG